CCGUCCUCCUCCCUCGCGGAUCAGUCCGCAUGUUCACGGUGCAUUCUUUAUGGAAUAUGUUGAGCAAACCUGGAGAAGCUUCAGCUCAAGAUAUUAUUGUUGUCAUUGCUGUGGAUCUUUACCUGAUACACUGACUUGGCUCGGGACCAGCACUCCUGUUGUUGGACAGAAAGACAUCAACUCAGUGACUUGAGAUAUGACUGCACUAUGCUGUUGCUGUGACUCCAGUUAAUUCUACAAGACAUGCUGUGACACCAGGAGAGAUGAGUCCUCCGUCACAGAUGGUGUGGUCAGUGAAGAUGGUCGCCUGCAGGUUCAAGCUCAUUGCAUCUCCAACCCACAUCCACUGCCACUGUACUUAAGGGAAGUUAAAGACUUUCUUCUGCACCUACAUUUGGAUCACCUCGAUCCGUGAUAGUCAUUCAGGCAGUAACGCCUGGACUGGAAACAAGCCAUCCUUAAAAUAUUACAACAUUCCAGCUCCUGUGUUGGAAUGAAAAACAAAUGUGUUGUUUAAAUUAGAGACUGCACUUGUGACAGAACAAUAAAUAUUUUAUUUUGAUUAUAUAAGUAAUGUAAGUACAAAACAAGCUUGUGG